GCGACGCCGCGUGAGGGAUGACGGCCUUCGGGUUGUAAACCUCUUUCGUACCGACGAAGCGGAAGUGACGGUAGGUACAGAAGAAGCACCGGCCAACUACGUGCCAGCAGCCGCGGUAAUACGUAGGGUGCGAGCGUUGUCCGGAAUUAUUGGGCGUAAAGGGCUCGUAGGCGGUUUGUCGCGUCGGGAGUGAAAACGCCGUGCUUAACACGGCGCUUGCUUUCGAUACGGGCAGACUAGAGGUAUGCAGGGGAGAACGGAAUUCCUGGUGUAGCGGUGAAAUGCGCAGAUAUCAGGAGGAACACCGGUGGCGAAGGCGGUUCUCUGGGCAUUACCUGACGCUGAGGAGCGAAAGUGUGGGGAGCGAACAGGAUUAGAUACCCUGGUAGUCCACACCGUAAACGUUGGGCGCUAGGUGUGGGGUCCAUUCCACGGAUUCCGUGCCGCAGCUAACGCAUUAAGCGCCCCGCCUGGGGAGUACGGCCGCAAGGCUAAAACUCAAAGGAAUUGACGG
rnacentral:rRNA from 1 species